AUACCAUGGUGAGGGAAUUUCCUAAAUAAUUCUUUGAAUCGCUCCCAUGCUUCAUAAAGAGAUUCGUCUUCCUAUUGAUACAAUGAGGUAAUCUCAGUUCGGAGUUU